rnacentral:sRNA from 1 species
AACCAUAACUAUACAUAGUGUCAAGCUAGUGUAUAAGAGAUUGUCAAUCUCGCCUAGCAGUGCUGUCAUAAUGUGUAUUACGUCUAUAUAGUGAUAGCUAGUAGAUUUAAUAAACCUAUUGUUGUAGUGACAAGGGUUGUGGUGAAAGAAAGCCAUCGCGGAUUCAGUACUAGAUACAAGCUUGUCGAUAAAUGCAUCAACAGUUACGAUAGCAUAAUACGCAGACCCUAAGCUAAUGUUAGUGUGAUAACUAGCAGAACCAAGUAGGGAAAUCAGUAAGCUAUUUUCUAGUUGAUGGAGGGUAAUUCCUCCUAUAAGUAACUAGUUGAGUAUUAGUAGGGUAAAUCUAGGAAUACAAAUAUAAAAAUAUUAUAUGUAGAAAUAUAAAUAUAAAAUAUUAUAUGCCUAAAGACAUCUGAAAGUUAUCAGUCAUCGUGCUGGAUUACACAUUAUAAUGGAACAACAGCUAGCUUGGUAGCUCCUAGUUAGUAGGCGUUGUUCAGUGUAUGGCAGAAUAUAUCGUAAAAGCUAAAGUAUACUACGCAAGCCAAUGCGGACACUUGUAUUGCUCUCG